AUUGAACGCUGGCGGCAUGCCUUACACAUGCAAGUCGAACGGCAGCACGGGUGCUUGCACCUGGUGGCGAGUGGCGAACGGGUGAGUAAUAUAUCGGAACGUACCUUAUUGUGGGGGAUAACGCAGCGAAAGCUGUGCUAAUACCGCAUAAUCCCUAAGGGGGAAAGCGGGGGACCGUAAGGCCUCGCGCAAUUAGAGCGGCCGUUACCUGAUUAGCUAGUUGGUGAGGUAAAGGCUGACCAAGGCAACGAUCAGUAGCUGGUCUGAGAGGACGAUCAGCCACACUGGGACUGAGACACGGCCCAGACUCCUACGGGAGGCAGCAGUGGGGAAUUUUGGACAAUGGGGGCAACCCUGAUCCAGCAAUGCCGCGUGAGUGAAGAAGGCCUUCGGGUUGUAAAGCUCUUUUGUCAGGGAAGAAACAGCAGCUCUAACACAGUUUGCGAAUGACGGUACCUGAAGAAUAAGCACCGGCUAAUUACGUGCCAGCAGCCGCAGUAAAAC
rnacentral:rRNA from 1 species